CGUGUUACAGUUUUUUUCAGUCGCUAACAAGCAUUUGUCCAAGCAGUUGUCACAUUUUCAAAACUCUAAACACAAUUAGCACAGCAUCUGUCUAUUGUGGCCAUACCAUUCACACAUUUCAUGUCGUUUUCACACAAUAUGGAGUCAUUGAACACAUUUCCACAAUGCUUACAUUCUCUGAACAGACAAGCUAUACCUCCCAACAAAAUUAUGGAUCGUUUUUGUAGUAUUUACAAAUGUUAUCACACAACAUCCCACAAUAGCAAAAACAAUGUUCCAAACCUUAGAUACAGUAUAAAAACCUCUGCUUCUGCAAUGAUAUCAGUUCAAAAACAAUAUAUCUUAGCUGAUUUAUGUUUUGUAAAUUGGGCCAACCACAACUGAUUCCAAUCUGGCUUAGACUCAAUGGCAGGGGUUAUUUUUUCUAUUACAUUGACACUUAUACAAUAAAAGGAGGACUUUGAAGAAUUAUAUUUUUGGAAACAGAAACAGAAAAAGACAAACACUGUAAUGUAUGGACGAGGAAGAGUAAGAGCAAGGGGCCCAGGGAGAAGAGCAGGCCCAGUGAGAGGAGCAGGAGCAGUGAGAGGAGCAGGAGCAGUGAGAGAUGCAGUGAGAGGAGCAGUGAGAGGAGCAUGAGCAGUGAGAGGAGCAGUGAGAGGAGCAUGAGCAGUGAGAGGAGCAGUGAGAGAUGCAGGAGCAGUGAGAGGAGCAGUGAGAGGAGCAGGAGCAGUGAGGUGCAGUGAGAGGAGCAGUGAGAGAUGCAGGAGCAGUGAGAGGAGCAGUGAGAGGAGCAGGAGCAGUGAGAGGAGCAGUGAGAGAUGCAGGAGCAGUGAGAGGAGCAGUGAGAGGAGCAGGAGCAGUGAGGUGCAGUGAGAGGAGCAGUGAGAGGAGCAUGAGCAGUGAGAGGAGCAGUGAGAGGAGCAGGAGCAGUGAGAGGAGCAGUGAGUGAUUGUUUUUAUUCCCCCCCCCUUUUUUAUUCUGGCCUUUUUGCUGUUGUUGUUUUUUUUGUUCAGAAUGCUCUUAUGUGUUUUAUGGAUAUUUUGUUCACUGUUAGCAAUACUGUCAAACCUUUUCUGUUCUAUCAUACCGUGUUUCUACUGUACCUCCUGCAGUAAGCAGUAAAGGAAAAAAAUAGCUUUUUACUGGAAUGCUUGAAUGUGAACAUUACUGUACAUUUGGACAUGCAGUUCCUAACCAAGAAAUUUAGUGUAAAACAGUGAAUUGCAUGUUUUGCAUGCAAAUACCUGUAAAACUGAGACGGAAAAGUCUAUGCAGUUUUAGUAAUGUCAACAAUAGCCAGUAUUUUGAAACCUGGUGUACUUUGAUUGACUGCAUGUACCUUGUGAGAUGAAAACAAGUGUUAUUCUUUGACAGAAUAAUUUAAUUUUGAAUCAGAUUUCCAGUGUUUUGGUAAAGUUGGUGUGGGCAGAGAAAGAUGUGUUCUAUUUUGAAAUGAAGAUUUAGUAUAUAUUUAACAAAAUGUGUUUUUGAGAAGGAAAUUAUCCAUUUGGCCAAUUGUGUUUUGUAGGUGUGAGUCUGUGUUAAGAGUUUAGAAAAAGUAUCUGAAGUAUGGUUAAGCGCUUGUUAGCGAUUGAAAAAAACUGUAAAAUGAAA